rnacentral:rRNA from 1 species
UACAUGCAAGUCGAGCGAGGCAGCAAUGCCGAGCGGCGAACGGGUGAGUAACGCGUAAGCAAUCUGCCCCAUAUCAGGAAAUACCCGUGCCAACGCGCGGUUAAUGUCCAGGAGAGUGGCCAGCUGCAUGGCUGGUUGACUAGAGAUUUAUCGGUAUGGGAUGAGCUUGCGUCCGAUUAGCUAGUUGCGGGGCAACGGCCCACCAAGGCGACGAUCGGUAGCCGGCCUGAGAGGGUGAUCGGCCACAUUGGGACUGAGAUACGGCCCAGACUCCCGUACGGGAGGCAGCAGUAGGGAAUAUUGCACAAUGGGGGAAACCCUGAUGCAGCAACGCCACGUGUGGGAAAGAAGCAUUUCGGUGUGUAAACCACUGUCAUGAGGGAAUAAGGCCCGCCUUCGGACGGGAUUGAAUGUACCUUGAGAGGAAGCACCGGCAAACUUCGUGCCAGCAGCUGC